UAUGAAAGAAAUUAGUUAAUUUACCUUUUGUAUCAGGGUUUUUUAAAAAAAUUAUUUAUUUUAUAAAUCUCGAAUCAGUGAUGAGCUAAGAAGUUUGUUUUUGUUUAAAUAAAGAAUUUAUUAAAUUAGUGAUGAAAUGUUUUCGUAUUCUGUGAUAACUAGUUAUUUAAAUGAAUUGUUAAGUAAUUGGUUUUGAAUCAAUCUAAUAGAAGAGUUAAUUUUUUUAUUUAUUUAGGUAUAAUUUAGAUUCGGAUAAAUUAGGUUUAAUAUUGGCCAUAUUUAUAUAUUGUUAUAAAUAAUUUUAUUUUUAAGUGUAGUUACUACAAAUAUUUAGAUUGUUUAGUUUUUUAAAAUAGCUUUUAUAAUAAUGAGUAAAUUAGUAUUAAAUUUAAGUUGUAUAAUUGAACUCGAAGUUUAUUUGAUAGUUUAGCAAAAACAUUUUUUUUAGUUAAUUGAAAGUAAGGCCUGCCCAGUGAUUUUUUAACGGCUGCGGUAUUUUGACUGUACUAAGGUAGCAUAAUCAUUUGUUUUUUAAUUGUAGACUGGAAUGAAUGGUUUUACAAAUAAUUAUUGUAAUGGUUUAAUUUUAAAAAUUUUUAUUUUGAAUAAAAAUAUUCAAAUAUUAUAAAGGGACGAUAAGACCCUAAAAGCUUUUUUAUUAUUAUAAUUAUUUAAUUAGUGAAUAUAGUGAUAGGUUUAGUUGGGGUAACGAGAGUAUUAUUAUUAUUUUAUAAAUGCACAGUUAUUUAUGGUUAUUGGAUCUUUUAUAUAAAGAAAAAUAGUAUUAGUUACUUUAGGGAUAACAGCGUAAUAAUUUUAGAAAGGCCUUAUUAAUAGAAUUGAUUACGACCUCGAUGUUGAAUUAAAAGUUCUAUUUAUUGCAGGAGGUAAGUAAGAAGGUUUGUUCAACCUUUGAUUUUUUACAUGAUUUGAGUUCAAAU
rnacentral:rRNA from 1 species